UUCAGGAAAAGCCAGCAAAAAUUAAAGAAAUUAAUGUGACAAAGAAGAGAGAAUUAAUUUAUAGGUUAAGAAGGGAACCACCCACUGGAGAAAUAGAGUAUUUAUUAGCGGAAUUCAAGAUACCUGCAUCUAUGGAGCUAAAAGAUAUGAACUUGGAAGUUGGUAAAGACCGUUUAGUUCUAGACUCUAAAGGAACAUACGAUCUUGUGGAUUUCUUCUUACCUUGCAGUGUUGAUCAGGAUAUAAUUGAUGCUCAACUAAAUAGGAAUAAUGACAUGUUGCUGGUCAAAAUGCCUGUGAUUCAUUAGUGUCAUAGUUAGUAAUUAAUAUGUUAAAAAUAAUAAAUAUAUAAUUA